rnacentral:rRNA from 1 species
AUUCCAGCUCCAAUAGCGUAUAUUUAAGUUGUUGCAGUUAAAAAGCUCGUAGUUGGAUUUUGGGUCGGGGGCACCGGUCCGCCGUUCCGGUGUGCACUGGUGGCCCCUUCCUUUCUGCCGGGGACGUGCGUCGCACUUAAUUGGGUGGCGUUCGGAGUCGGCGUUGUUACUUUGAAAAAAUUAGAGUGUUCAAAGCAAGCCAUCGCUCUGAAUACAUUAGCAUGGAAUAACAUGAUAGGACUCUGGUCUUAUUUUGUUGGUUUCCGAGACUGGAGUAAUGAUUAAGAGGGACAGUCGGGGGCAUCCGUAUUUCAUUGUCAGAGGUGAAAUUCUUGGAUUUAUGAAAGACGAACUUCUGCGAAAGCAUUUGCCAAGGAUGUUUUCAUCG